rnacentral:rRNA from 1 species
GAUGAACGCUGGCGGCGUGCUUAACACAUGCAAGUCGAACGAUGAAGCCCAGCUUGCUGGGUGGAUUAGUGGCGAACGGGUGAGUAACACGUGAGUAACCUGCCCUUAACUCUGGGAUAAGCCUGGGAAACUGGGUCUAAUACCGGAUAGGAGCGUCCACCGCAUGGUGGGUGUUGGAAAGAUUUAUCGGUUUUGGAUGGACUCGCGGCCUAUCAGCUUGUUGGUGAGGUAAUGGCUCACCAAGGCGACGACGGGUAGCCGGCCUGAGAGGGUGACCGGCCACACUGGGACUGGGACACGGCCCAGACUCCUACGGGAGGCAGCAGUGGGGAAUAUUGCACAAUGGGCGCAAGCCUGAUGCAGCGACGCCGCGUGAGGGAUGACGGCCUUCGGGUUGUAAACCUCUUUCAGUAGGGAAGAAGCGAAAGUGACGGUACCUGCAGAAGAAGCACCGGCUAACUACGUG